AAGGAGAAUCGGGCAGUCGCAUCACGCAGCCGUGUGAUGAGGAAAGUCCGGGCACCACAGGACAGGACGCCUUGUGUCAAACAAGGGGUUUCGCUUCGGCGAGACACGGAAAGUGCCACAGAGAACAGACCGCCCUGCCGCUGUCGUUUUGUCGACAGAGGCGGAGUGAGAGGUGAAAAGGUGGGGUAAGAGCCCACCGCUCCAAGGGUAACUACGGAGGCAGGUAAACCCCGUCCGGUGCAAGACCAAGCAGAGGGAUUUCGGCGCCGCAACGCGGCACGGAGAGGAUGGUCCGUCCUUCAUGCCCUCGGGUAGGUCGCUCAAUGCUCGCAUCCGGCCAUGCCGGGUACGGGCCAGUCAAAUGGCUGCCUCCCUGCUGCGCACAAGCGGAGCAGGCCAGACAGAACCCGGCUUACAGAUUCUUCUUCCCC
rnacentral:RNase_P_RNA from 1 species